rnacentral:lncRNA from 1 species
CAGGACCCGACAGGGUGGGGCAGAAUCCUGCAGCAGUCUUGUGGCUUGUCUCUGCUCUGUGAAACAGGGCACACACGAACCUUGGGUAUAGCUGGAGAAAGGACCUUGAUCCUCAGCUGAAGAAAUUGCACUGAACCAGUGAGAUGGGGGCUGUGUCCCCAGACAUUGCCCCCACUCUUGACAAAUAGAGCACCCAAAGAAUGGGUGCCUUCCAUGUGGAUAUUAAGUCCCCUGAAAAGCUUCUUGGAGGACAUCAGAUUUAAAUGAAUAGAAGAGGGCCCCUGAAUGGCUGAGUGAAGAGGAGGGGGCCGCAGGGCAGUUCAAGCCACUUCCAAGAUGGAGAAGGCAUGGGAACCCACGAUGGCAGUGGAGUAAAAGACAACCCCUCCCUUCAAGACAGGUUCCUCCAGUUUGCAAAGCGAGGCCAUAGAACUGGUCUGGAGGAGAAGGGAAUGACUUAGAGCGUCAAAUGUGAAAAGUCUGGUCUCUAAGUCACUGCAUGGAGGACGUCUGCCUGCUGGAAAUUUUGGCUGCUUUGAGAGACGUGGGCAGCUGACUCCAUAACUGGGUGGAGCACCGUGAAGAAAUAGAGCUGGUGGCAGUCAAAGGGAGAGAGACGCGAGGCAGCAAGGACUGGGCUGGAUGCUUGGAGUCGGGAAAGCCCAGGUUUCAGCUUCCACCCCACCCCCACCCGAACCCCUGGCCAACAAGUGGACAGUCAUGGGCAAGGACAAGUUGUACCACCUAUACCACUAAAAGAAUGUGAGGAAAAGGCACCUGUCGGGGACAGGGAAGUCGGUGUCCCACCCCGCUACUCGUGCAGCCUCCCUCCCAUCACAUGGCCACCGUCCUGCCACCUUCUCAGAUCUCCUGUAACUACCAGUAAUUGUCACUUCUCUGGUUCCCACUUCCCCAAACCUGGACAAGCUGUCUUUUCUGCUGCUGUUUUGAUAUUCAGCUCUGUGGCUGGUGACAGAGAACAGGAUUUAUAAAAUUUCCAUUCACCUUGGGAAUUAUACAUUUUGUUUUUUUUUAAAUUUUAUUGUUUGAGACAAUAUUUCAGGUAGCCCAGACUGGCCUCAAACUUACUAUAUAGCUGAGACUGGCCUUGAACUCCUGAUCCUUCUGCCUCUACUUCUCAGGGUCUGGGAAUACAGGUAUACACCACUACACCCAGCUAUAAUAACAUUUAAAAUAUUUUUGCAUGUAUUUAUUUUGUAUCCCCCCCCAUACACACACAAUGUCCCAUUCACAGCACACAUGUACAGGCCAGAGGACAACUUGCAAGAGUCAGUUUUCUCCUUCUCCCACAUAGUUACUGGGGAUGGGA